AACACAUGCAAGUCGAGGGGAAACGGCAUUAAGUGCUUGCACUUUUUGGACGUCGACCGGCGCACGGGUGAGUAACGCGUAUCCAACCUGCCCCUUACCAGGGAAUAACCCGUUGAAAGGCGGACUAAUGCCCUAUGGAGUCCUUUGACGGCAUCAGAUUAGGGCUAAAGAUUCAUCGGUAUGGGAUGGGGAUGCGUCUGAUUAGCUUGUUGGCGGGGUAACGGCCCACCAAGGCAUCGAUCAGUAGGGGUUCUGAGAGGAAGGUCCCCCACAUAGGAACUGAGACACGGUCCUAACUCCUACGGGAGGCAGCAGUGAGGAAUAUUGGUCAAUGGGCGCUAGCCUGAACCAGCCAAGUAGCGUGCAGGAUGACGGCCCUAUGGGUUGUAAACUGCUUUUAUGCGGGGAUAAAGUCACCCACGUGUGGGUGUUUGCAGGUACCGCAUGAAUAAGGACCGGCUAAUUCCGUGCCAGCAGCCGCGGUAAUACGGAAGGUCCGGGCGUUAUCCGGAUUUAUUGGGUUUAAAGGGAGUGUAGGCGGCCUGUUAAGCGUGUUGUGAAAUGUAGAUGCUCAACAUCUGAACUGCAGCGCGAACUGGCUGGCUUGAGUACACGCAACGUGGGCGGAAUUCAUGGUGUAGCGGUGAAAUGCUUAGAUAUCAUGAGGAACUCCAAUUGCGAAGGCAGCUCACGGGAGU
rnacentral:rRNA from 1 species